rnacentral:rRNA from 1 species
CCUACGGGCUGCAGCAGUGGGGAAUAUUGCACAAUGGGCGCAAGCCUGAUGCAGCCAUGCCGCGUGUAAGAAGAAGGCCUUCGGGUUGUAAAGCACUUUCAGCGGGGAGGAAGGCGAUAAGGUUAAUAACCUUGUCGAUUGACGUUACCCGCAGACGAAGCACCGGCUAACUCCGUGCCAGCAGCCGCGGUAAUACGGAGGGUGCAAGCGUGAAUCGGAAUUACUGGGCGUAAAGCGCACGCAGGCGGUCUGUCAAGUCGGAUGUGAAAUCCCCGGGCUCAACCUGGGAACUGCAUUCGAAACUGGCAGGGUAGAGUCUUGUAGAGGGGGGUAGAAUUCCAGGUGUAGCGGUGAAAUGCGUAGAGAUCUGGAGGAAUACCGGUGGCGAAGGCGGCCCCCUGGACAAAGACUGACGCUCAGGUGCGAAAGCGUGGGGAGCAAACAGGAUUAGAUACCCCAGUAGUG